GCGCCCUGCUACAGACCAGCAGCACUUCAUGAAGAGGCCCGGACGACAGCAAGUUAAAAAGAAACAAACAAGCCGAACAGUAACUUUUAUGCCGGGAAAGGACUGCGGGCUCGGCUCGUCACAAGGAGCAAACCCGGAGCGGCGCGGACCUGGCGCCCUUACCUGCUGCACGCCCGCCGCCCUCGGCCAGCAGGGGCUCUGUGGUGGUAAUGGAUUCGUCGCUUCAGAAAAAAGUGGCAGGGCAGGAAUCCUUUGGUCUGUGGGUCCUCGAAGUUAAACUAAGGCUGCUUGAAACUAUGCUAGUUUUUCCGGGAGAGGCCAGAGA